rnacentral:misc_RNA from 1 species
AGGAUUUUCUAAAUACACCAAAUUUAUGAACUAUCAAUCUUUUUGUUGACAAGUUGAAAAUCAAAAAAAUAAUAGACUUUUAUCAAAAUUUUGGUGAUACACCCACGCAAAAAUGUUGGCCUUUUAUACAUUUUAAGAUUUUGAAAUGAAUGUUCAACGUGAUAAUAAUGUCUAGUGAUAGUGACUCUGAGGAAUUUUACGAUGCUGAGGAUAAUUCACCCAGUAGUGCAAGGAGAAGUAGGAAAAUUUCUAAGGAUAACAAUGUAGCCAAACGAGCAAGUUCUGAACCAAACAUAUCAGGCCUAAAAGAAGAAAAACAACAAGGCCCUAAUCCGCCUGAAUAUGAUACUACAAAACAGACUGAAGAUAGAUCAAAAGACGUUCCAAUUGGGGGAAGGAAAAAGUUUAAGGAACUUCGCCAAAGACUUCAACACGACGAUGAGGAUUAUCAGCCAGGAGGGAAUAUUACACCACCGAAUAGCCAGAAUUCAUCUGUAGAUGGAGUCUUUGCGGGUUCAAGCAGAGCUACUCAUCCUUUCCGUAUUAUAGAACAGGACACCGUUAGUUUGCAGAGUCUUAAUUCCUUAGGCAGAAUUGGUAGGAUACUAGGAGGAGUUCAAGAAAAUGAUCCAGGAAAGAAGACUGCAUCUGUUUCAGCGCUUUCAUCUAGUUCUUUGGAUUCAGAAUCGACGCAAAGUUCUAACAAACAAUAUCCAAGCACUCUAACUUUGUCUCCAGUGUUUUCCACAGGUCCCACGCAAGCUAGUUCCUCCGACAAAGCAUGUCUUCCGCUGCAAGAACCCGACGUGAUCGCUAGCACAAAAUCGUCACAAAAAAAUUUCGAUCCAUCACAUCCUCACGCUACGUCCAGUUUAGAUGCACCAAUCGCUCCACCUAGGCGCAAAAAGAAAAACAAAACGCCAACUGAAACACUGCCGCUCACAAAAUCCACUUCUAGCACUAAUUUCGAGUCCUCUGAACUUGCUAGUCCUGCUACCACUAUAGAAUCACUAACUAGAGAGUUUGAACAUUCUUUAGAUAGAUUGCCCUCGAUAAAGUCGACCAAAUCUGAUAAGAUCUUGGGGAGUGAGUCGCAGAGCUCCACCUUACGGUCCGGCCAUUCUUUGGACAUCAAACAAGCUUUGAAAGGGCAGUUCGUGGUGAAGCCGCAGGAUAAUGAGAGUCUAAGGGCCCGGCAGAGUUCCAAGGAAGACGUAGAUACUGACAGUCAGGAUAAGUUGACCGUUUCCACGGACAAGACGAACGUUAAUAGCAGUCCGAGGGGGUCUGGAAAUCGUAGCAGUGUUGGACAUUACAGUUUAGGACCUCAUAGGGGAACACAUCAAAAUGAUAGCAAACACUCAUCCAAAGAACGCAGAAAAUCCGCCGGUGACGAAAACUUCCUCAAAAACCUAACCACACAUGUCCGCACACACACCGACUCCGGCAAACAACUGUCGGACUUAGAAAUCCUAGAGCAAGUGACAGUACUAAACCUAGACACCGGAGAGAGAGUUCCUUUAAGCGUCGCCGAAGACAAACUGCCACAAUGCAUCAACCCUUUAUCUUUGCAUAUAAUGCGCAUAACAUCAGAGUACGUGAGCAGUUCCAGCAUGGAGAAAGAGAAAGAGUCUGACGAAGAAAGUGUGGGAAAGAAGUCUGAGAUACCUGUAGUAGGAGAAAACGACGUGGAAGUUGGAGGAAUAAGGCAAAAGACGGCCAAAUUGAAACGCUUCCUAGGGUCUACGGUGAAGAAAACAAUGCACAAGGCGAAAUCAAUUGCGCAGGAAGUGUCGCAUGCUCGUCAUAAAGAGGAUGCUAUUGAUAUAGUUGAUAAUGUUCAUCCCGGAGAACAAACGUGUAAAUUAAAGGCUGCCAAUUCACACAAAGGUCCCUACGAAUUUGAAAAAGUUGAACACGUUCAAGAACUAAACGACGAUCAGCACGAGGGGCCUAUUUGGUGCAUGAAAUUUUCUUGUUGCGGGAGGUUGCUGGCGACCGCUGGACAAGACAAGGUUCUUAGGAUAUGGGUAGUUCGGGAUGCCUAUCCGUUCUUCCAGGACAUGAGGACGAAGUAUAAUGCUGAAAAAGUUUCUCCAACACCAUCACAAGAGUCUCUAGUGUCUCACCACUCUGCUGAAAUAUCCAAUUACGCAGCUUACGAAGGGAUGACACCGGAAGAAGCCGCAAAAUUGACAUUCAUGCCGAAACCGUUCUGCACCUACACCGGCCACACUUCCGACCUUUUGGACGUCUCUUGGUCUAAAAAUUACUUCAUACUUUCUUCUUCCAUGGAUAAGACUGUACGACUUUGGCACAUUUCUAGGAAAGAAUGCCUGUGUUGUUUCCAGCAUAUCGAUUUUGUGACUGCGAUAGUGUUUCAUCCGAGAGACGAUAGGUAUUUCCUCAGCGGGUCGUUGGAUGGGAAGUUGAGGUUGUGGAACAUUCCAGAUAAAAAGGUGGCUGUGUGGAACGAAGUAGAAGGCAACCCGAAACUUAUAACGGCAGCGAACUUCUGUCAGAACGGAAAAUUCGCUGUGGUCGGCACUUACGACGGUCGCUGCAUAUUCUACAUCACCGAUCAACUCAAGUACCACACCCAGAUUCACGUCCGUUCCUCUAGAGGCCGCAACGCCGUUGGCCGAAAGAUUAGCGGAAUCGAACCGAUGCCGGGCGAAGACAAAAUCCUAGUAACGUCGAACGACAGUAGAAUUAGACUGUAUGACCUCAGGGACCUCAACGUCUCUUGCAAAUACAAGGGCUACGUGAACAUGAGCAGCCAGAUCAAAGCGAGCUUCAGUCACGACGGGAAAUACAUCGUGAGUGGAUCUGAAAAUAGGGAUAUUUAUAUUUGGAAGACCAAUCACGAUUACUCCAAGUUUUCGUCAGUUAGGCGAGAUAGAAACGAUUUCUGGGAGGCAAUUAAGGCUCAUAACGCUACGGUGACUUGUGCUAUCUUUGCUCCAAAUCCAGAGGCGAUCAUCAAGAUGAUGGAGGAAAACCAAAGAAGGCUAAUCGAGGAGGAAGAGGGUGAACAUAAGAUCGAGGACCCUGUCGUCGAACAGCACACCAAAGGAUGCGGAGGUUACGUUCUAAUCUCGGCCGACUUCAACGGAUGCAUCAAAGUAUUCGUGAACAAAAUGAAGCCUAAACACAGCUCGCUGCCGGUAUCCGCAAUGGCGUAAUCCCACUACAUACUACCAAAUUAUUUUCAUGAAUACCUAAUAGACUAAGAGCCGCAUAGGAAAAAUUUGCUAAUCAUUUUAGGCACCGUAAGAGUCUAUAACUUAUAUAGUAGAACCUAAAAGAAGACGUUUAAGCAUUAUGUUAUCAAUUUUCACACGUGUCGACGAUGGAAAAUCAAACUGUCCGCUUAUGGACCGGAUAAAUAAAUUAAUGGAUACCCCCCAUUGAGACAGGUAAAAUGCCCUCACUCCCAGAAUUUAAUUUUUUUGCAUGCUAUGUGAUUAAAAAAUAAGACUCAGCGCAAUUUUACGCUGAGUCUUACAACUUGCGCUAAGUCUUAUUUUUUAAUCACAUAUUAGGGUGGUCCGAUAAGUACCUAGCCGUCAAAAGAAGAACUAAAAUUUGGAAGUAGUGAUGAUUUAUUUCUGAAUGUAGUCUCCUUUCAGCUCAGUGAUGCUCCAUCCAGUGAUGCUCCACCUUCCUUAACCCUGUACAGGAUUUAUAUUAACAUUCAAAAAAUAAGAGUAAUCCAUAUCGAUUUAAUUUUUAAAAGUUUCAAACAAAUAUUAUUUAUAUGCAUUGUUUUGAUUUCAUAAAUUAGGUGACAUUGCUUCUGCAAUGUAGGCCACUCGUUUUGAAAAACAACGGAGUCAGCAAUUAUGUGCUAUUAGUAUUUCACGGCCACAACGGUGUCGUCAAUCAUAACAAACAAUUGGGAUUUAUUUAUAGAUACGUAGAAAGUAAAUAAAGAGAUCAGUCAGUAUUCAUCAUUCAUUAUUUAGAUAUCAAUGUAGUUGGAACAUAGACUUUGUCCACCAACUCGUUACUAGCGUAUAUAGUGAUUAAAUAAACAUAGUAUAAGUAUUUAGAGUAUUCCUGACAUCCAACGCCUAGCAGAGGGACGUUCAACUCCUUACCAAAACCUAUUUUAUUAAAACUCCUCUGAAAAUUACAUUUUCUCGAGGUCUGCAAAGUAGGCUUCCGUGGUAGUGAUGAUCUACUCAUUCGACUUAAAUUUAUGCCCGGCGAAUGACUUUUUCAAAUUUGGAAACAAGAAGAAGUUGUACAGGGCCAAAUAUCAAGAAUACGGUGGAUGGGACAGCAGUUCGUAGUCCAAUUUGGCCAUGGCUUCGGCGGAGGUAUGAGCCGGUGCGUUAUCAUGGUGGAAGAUUUUGGUUUCUUCCCCAAUUAAAGCUGUUUUUUGUAAAAUUCGGCGUUGAGUCCGCAAAAUAAUGCGGCACAGUAAAGCCCUGUGACUGUGUUGACCUUUUACUGGAAGUUUUUGUGUGAAAUUCGGCCUCGAAUCCGCAAAAUAAUGCGGAUCAGUAAAGCCCUGUGACUGUUUUGACCUUUUACUGGAAGUUUAUAUAGAUCACAUCUUGUGAAUCCCUGAAAAUGGUGGCCGUCCCCUUUCCCGUCGAUUGGACGCUCUUCGCCCUCUUCGGAGCACGUUAGCGAGGUGACGUCCACUGUAUUGACUGUUCCUAGGUCACUGAUGUAUACUAGUGGAACCAUGUUUCGUCGGUGGCUAUUAAACACCGUCUAAACUCCUUUAGAUUACGCUUAAACAGACUCAGAUACUGCUUUGAAGUGGUCUCAUGUUCGCGCUUAUUGUCCGAAGCUUAUUGUCCAAAAUUUCAUGUCGGAUAUGGAUAUGACCCACGUAAUGUUUUGAGAUGCAAACUGUCUCAGCUAUCUCGCGCACCUUCAGUUGGCUGUCGACCAAUACGAGAUCGUGGUUUUUUUCACGUUAUCCUCUGUGGUAGCCGUUUUCGGGGCCCCUGGGUGUGACUUAACAAAUACCGAUCUGCGACCCCUUUGAACCUCGUUAACCAAUUUUUGACGGUCGCCGCCGAAAGACAAGAGUCACCAUACACAGCAUCCAAGCGCCCUUUGAUUUCGCUGGGUUAUUUCCCUUCCAAAACAAGAGUCGAAUCGCCGAGAGUUAUUGUUCUUUUUCCAUUUUUUUAAAACUGCCAGACACGCAGGCUUAUACACGCUUGCAAAAUAAAACUACUCGUCCGAUGGGGCUGAAAUUUUGACAUAGGCCUUCUACAAGAAUGUAUUACUUAAUGGUAUAUUUCUCUUGCUGUAGUGGAGCUAUCAGGCGGAGAGGCUAACUACUUAUCGGACCACCCACAUAGAAUGUAAAAAAUUGAAUUCUGGGAGUGAGGGCAUUUUGCCUAUUUAUCGGGUGAAUGAAGAAGAAUCGGAGUCUCGAUAUGGAGAAUUUUCUGAGAAUGAACCUUAUGACGCGCUUAUGGAUAUUGUUAAAGAUGAAAUAGGGUAUUAAAAAUCAUUAAAUUAUAUACAAAAUUAUGAGACGAAACAACAGUGUUCUUAUAAGAAAAUACAAAAACAACAGAAAACAAAAUUUAUUUGACAAAAAAAAAAUGAAAUUUUCUUAACAGCAAAUACUGGAUGUGGUGAGCUAAUCUGAAAAAGAUGAGGCCUCAGAUUCAGAAUCUAUUUCUAUCAUUAGCUCAUCCUAGUCAUCUACAUUCUGCAUUUCAAUGUACUGAUGAGAAGUUUUGGGAUUUUGUUUUUCACUAGUCGCCAGCACAGUCAUGGAUUGGUAUACCCCUAACAAUUUUAAAUUGUGAGUAAUAAAAGUUACCUUAUCAGCCCGUUCACCAGUAACCCAGUUUCUUUUAGAGGAGUGGAUAAAACAAUAAGUACUGAAACUUCUUUCAGUCGAUGCACUGGAUGAAGUCAUGCUUACCGUCAUUGGACGAACGUAACAACUGUGUUGGCUGAAAACCAGUUGAUGAAUGUUUCUGUUGAUUCUUUUCAAAUAAUUGUCUCGCUCCAACCGGACAUUUAACAAGAUUUUUCAAGUACCUAUUGACUAUCCCAAAAUUUGCAAAAGUACUUGUUUUGCCUUGUACACUUUUAAUUUUACAGUAAUUCCAUAUAUUCCUUUUAAAACGAGCACCACACUCUCGCAAAGUUACUUCGGGGAAGUUCACCCAAGUCCGAAGUACCCGUCACUACACCCUCAUUCUACUUCGCGAGGAACACAUUCACCCCGGGCGAUAAGGACUUCGAUUCCUCUGACUUGGUCUCAAAAACUGCCACAGAAUUCAAGUAGGCCGAGACAAGCAAGUCGCAUGAACAACCUGUCUACAUACACUCUCGUACUCGCUGAACUUCGAUCGACUUCGAGGUGAGCGUUUUAAGUUUUUUAGUAAAUUAUGCUUUACUUCGAUCCAUUCUAAAGAUUAGCACGUUAAUAUAGCACCAAAACAAUAAAUACUGACACUGUAAACACCCUAGCUAGUGAUUCAUGGGAUUCCCCAGCCCGGCUACUCAGAUUUUCGGGGAUUUGAUCUAAAAUCGCGUGAAAGCGAAAAAGCAUUUCAUGAGCGGAGCGACAAGUAGGUGUUUGAGCUUCAAGAAUAAUGUUUGGGAUGCAAAAAAUAUACUAGGUAAAUGAGCAAAAACAAUAUGGAAAAUUCUCGAAAAUAAUGUUCUGCCCAAGAACAUUUUCGUGCUCGAGAAUAUUCUCUUGAGAAUAUUCUCUUCUUACAUCACUAGUACUCUAUAAUUGAUUUAUCCGGUCCAUAAGUGGAAAGUUCUCUUGAGAAUAUUCUCUUCUUACAUCACUAGUACUCUAUAAUUGAUUUAUCCGGUCCAUAAGUGGAAAGUUAGAUUUUCCACCGUCGACCUACGUGCCACUGAAAAUUAACGGCAUAGUGUUCAUACGUUUUCUUUUAGAUUAUGGGCUCUUGCGGCGUCUAAAAUGAUUAGAAAAUUUUUCCGGUCCGGCUCUUAGUCUAUAACAGCAACAGAUUGACGUAUUUUAGAUAUGAAUUAAAAAGACACGUAUAAUUAAGAGAAACAGAAAGUCGAUCUUGUUGCUGCUAGGAUUCGUGAAGAGUCUUUAUUUUACUUUGUGGCCAUAAUAUACUUUUUAUUCCUUUAUUGUGUAUAUAUUUAAUUGUUAUUGUUUAUACAAAUGACAGUAAUUGAUUUUUAAAGCUUCUUUUCCUUGCAAUGAAGAACAGCCAAAGUAUCUCAGAAUUUACCCCAAUGCAUUUGUUAUUAAUUUAGUUCACGGAGGAUUAAGUUGAUUCAAAUACUGUUUAAUUUUUUUUAUUUUCAAAAAAUAUACAGUGAGCACGUAAAGGUUAAAGGAUUAAAUUCAUUUUUUCGUAAAUGGGCGAUUUUGGAAAUAAAUCCCGAAACAGGUCGAUUUUUAUUUUUAAAUUAUAAUUUUUUUGGCUUAUAUAUCAUACUAGUGACGUCAUCAAUGUGGGAAUGAUGACGUAAUCGAAGAUUUUUUUAAAAUAAAAAUAGGGAUCCCGUGCUAGCUCAUUUGAAAAGUUAUUCAAUUCUCUAUGCAACAAUAUAAACAUUAACAUAAUUAAGGAAAGCUUUAUAUUUAAUUCAAUUCAGGGGUUACCACUAUCAGUUGACAUACGUUUCUUCUUUUUGGAGUCAUCAGAACUGCCUAUGGUAUACCCUGAAGCGAACUAAAUUUGGCUGUCUACUAAGCAACAUAAUAAAUAAAUAUUUGCUGCUGGAAGCAUUAGCGACAUCUAUUUAAACAAUAGAGAAAACAGAAAAUUCUCUUUUAAGUCGGAACGCAAAAUAAUUUUUUUUAUUGCAUAGACGGUGUCAUUUAGCCAGUCAUAACUUUUUUUUUAAUUCCUGUUCAUAUAUAAAGAAGGCAAUGAGGUCCUCAGAGUUCCACAGCUCUCUACUCAGUUUAAAAGCUUCAGCUGGCCCGCUAUGGACUAUCCAAGUUGCUCACCACAUUUUUCCAUUAUACAUAAAUGUACAUACAUAAUAUAUAAAUUAUCAGGAUUAAUAAGUUUAAAGUUUAAAUAACUUUAAUAUCCACUGUAUAUCUUGAAACUGAUAGAAAACAUAUAUGUAAGAAAUAAAACAGAAAUGAAAGUCAAUGGAAUAAUAACAGAACCCAUAAAAACAAACACAGGAAUCAGGCAAGGAGAUUCACUAAGCCCUCAACUGUUUAACAUAAUGUUGGAUGCAAUAAUAAAACAAGUGAAAAAAAAGAGGGUACAAAAUGGGAAAUAGAGAGAUAAAAAUACUCUGUUACGCUGAUGACACCGUGUUAGUAGCAAAGUCCGAAGACGACCUACAAAGAUUAUUGCACGAGUUCAACAUUAACGCAAGAGAAGUUAAUAUGAAAAUAUCAGCCCAAAAAACAAAAAGCUUAGUAAUUACCAAAGAACCAAUAAGAUGCAAAUUGGAGUUAGACAAUCAAAUUAUACAACAAGUAAUGACUUUCAAAUAUCUGGGAAUUAAUCUAUCAGCCGACAACAAUAUCGAAUAAGAGGUAAAAGACCAAAUAAUUAAAGCCAGUAGAACGGCCGGAUGCCUAAACGACACAAUUUGGAAAAACAAACACCUAAGAGUGGAAACAAAGGCCCGAAUAUAUAUAAGUCAGUUAUUAGGCCAGUUAUGACUUACACGGCCGAAACAAGACCAGAUACAAGCAAAACACGAAGACAUCUGGAAAUCAACGAAAUGAAGAUCUUAAGAAGGAUUGCUGGAAAAGGACUACAGGAUAGGGUAAGAAGUGAGGAAAUCAUACGCAUAUGUGGGGUAGACAAUAUAAAUACCUGGGUAAAGAACAGAAAAGAAGAAUGGAAUGAGCACAUAAGCAGGAUAUCUGAAUCAAGGAUAGUAAGAAUAGCCAGGAACAAGUCACCGUUAGGCAGGAGAAGUAUAGGACGCCCAAGGAAAAGAUGGGACGACAACUUAGGGGCAGAAUGAAAGGCACCGUUGAAGAAAAACAGGCAGUACUGCCUAUAUAAAAGAAGAAGAAGAAGAACAAGUUUAAAGGUUAAUUUUACUUUCACCAAUAAAUUUCAUUGGAAAAUCAUAUAUAUUUUUGCUGUUCAGAGAGAAUAGAUAGGAUAUAUUGAAAGGUGGAAAACCAUUACAUUUUAUUAAAUAUUGGAAAUUAAAUCUUGCAGAAUUCUUGGAAGCAAUCUAUUGUCUGAGCUUGUUACAAUAAUUUAUAAAGCAAUCAGUCUGAUAAAUAGCGGAAAUGGGUAUAAUUUGCAUUCAUCACCUGUCCGCUUAUCUAGAUAAAAAUCCAACAGAAUUCUGCUUCCUUAGUACUCAAAUAUGAGUAAAAUAAAAUAACGAUAGACAGUUUUAGAUUUAAUUCGAUUCAGUGACCACCACUAUCAGUAACAUACGUUUCUUUUUAGUGUCGUCAGAACUGCCUGUGGCGAACCUGAAGCGAACUUAAUCUGGCUGUCUACUUAGCAAAAUAAUAAACAAUUAUUCGCUACUGGACGCAUUAGCGACAUUUAUUUAAACAAAAGAGAAAAUAGAAAAUUCUCUUUCAGGUCGUAAUGCAGAAUCCUUGGUAACAAUAUAUUGUCUGAGCCUGUUACAAUUUAUAAAACCAACAGACCGAUAAAUAGCGGACAUGGGAGAAUCUAUAAUUUGCAUUCGUCACCUGUCUGCUUAUUUAUAUAAAAAUCCAACAGAUUUCUGCUUCCUUAGUACUCAAAUGUGAAUAUUUCCGAUUACCGUAAUUACUACAUUAUCCAAGCCUGCACUUCUGCUUCUGUGCGUCAUGGAGCGAGAUCAGGUCAUCCACCAGUUCUCCUAUUUUCGAAUUCAUUCGAGCAUAUUUCGCAUACGAAAUUAGAAGAAUUUUACUCGAAAAUUCAGUUUCUUGUAUUUUCGAAUACCUCAUAUACGAAUUGUUGUCAUUUCAGUUGUCAUUGAUAGUUUUAAUCGUUGUUGUAUACAAUAUUUUUACCUUGAACUUUCUUUUCAAUUGCUGGUUUAAAAUAAUUAUUUAAUAGACAGAAUGGACAUACUUUACGAUGAUGCAUUGAAUAUAACCUAACCCUAACUUUAUGUACGUAUUUUAGCAUUCGGUCUAACUAAGCUCUAAGCUUGACAUAUGACACCGUUGCCAUAUCCUCAAUUUUUUCAUACUAUCACAUUAUAUAAAGUUAUUUAAAAAUAGUUUUGAAACACCCAAAAAAGUAAAGUUUUGAAAGGUAAAUAGUAAAAUAUAAAUUCUUAAUUUUGUUCAUACUAUCACAUUACAUAAAGGUGCAUUUAAAAAAUCGUUUUGAAACACCAAAAAAAGUAGUAAAAUUUCAGUGUAAAUACUGGAUACAAAAAUAAUAAUAAACAAAAUAGUGGACAUUGUAAACCGAUAUUACUAAUAUUAUGCAAGCUUAAGAAUCGAUUGCAGCUAAUAUUUUAGCUAUUUGUUUUUAAUACUGUGAUUAUACCAUUGAUUGAAAUUAUACAUGAAAUAAACAAAAAAGUAUGGCAACACUGUGACUCUUCAGAUGAAGGUUAAGUCCAAUGUUGUUCGAAUUUGCAGAGUUGCCGGUGCAAAUUCUUCUCGUAUACGUAUUACAUUUCGAAGGACGUUCAAAAAUACACAUUCAGAUUCGUCUACGAAAUUUUUCAUUCGAGUUGUAUGCGAAGAAAUUAGAUUGAAUUCGAAAAUGCAACCCAGGAGUGACUACAGGAGGGGAGGAAGCACUCCUCCCGUCUUGGCUCCUCUGACAGCCCUUGGCUGUUUUGGCCAAAAUAUCCUCUCCUUGAAGCUCUAUUACAAUCAGCCUAUUUUUCGGCUGCUUUGAUCCAAUUGCAGUUAGUUACUCUUUUUCUAUAAAGAAUUCUCUUAGAUUCUUCGAAAUUCGAAUUAAAGUUUGUGGUAGACUUCCGAACCAAAUGCAAAAAGUAAAAGUAUAAAUUUUGAAACCCGCUAUGUAUUUUUAUUUAGAGAAUAAGACUAAUAGAUGGGUAACAUCACAUUUUUACAAUCUUAACCUGAAUUAAAACUUGAAGCAAUACAUAGAUGUACGUUUAUUGUAGAUUGAUAUUUCAGAUUGUUAUAUUUUGUAAUAUAUUUUGAUCUAAUAGAUAAUUAACUAUUUUUAAUAGGAAAUAAGCCACAAUUUCACUAAAAAAUGAUUUUAUUAACGUUUCGACGUCCAAAUCGGAUGCCGUUGUCAAAAUACAAAAAAUAGUAAUGAAUUAAACAAAAAUUUUGUUGCUUAGUAAAAAAUUCUUCUAAUAAUUUAUUUAAUCUGACUUAUUUAUAUCGGCAAUUCAGACAUAUAUUAUACAUUUUAAAGUAGAAUUUACUAUGGAAUCUCUAACGCGAGAAUUUUAUUGUCACCGUUGCAUGUGGUUGUCUUUUUAAAGACAUAUCACAUGCUAUGAUUUUUUUUGUGACGGAUAUUCGUGAGUUGGGGUUGAUUUCUUGUAAUCGAAUGAACUAUCUUUCAGUAAAGUCGGCCAGGAACGCAACUCAUAAAUAUUGGCAAUAUCAUUUUAAAGUCUUUUACUUUAAAAUGUAUAAUAUAUGUCUGAAUUGCGGAUAUAAAUGAGUCACAUUAAAUAAAUUAUUAGAAGAAUUUUUUACCAAGCAACAACAUUUUUGUUUAAUAUUAAUAUUUUUUAUAUUUUGACAACGGCAUCCGAUUUGGACGUCGACACGUUAAUAAAAUAAUUUUUUAGUAAAAUUGUGGCUUAUUUCCCAUUAAAAAUAGUUAAUUACAAAAAUGCCACAAGAAAAUAGCUUCAGAACAACAUUAAUAGAUAAUUUUAAACAUGAUUUGAUAAUUUGAGAUGAAACUGAUCUUCUGUCGGGAAAUUUUAAAUAAAAUAGAUUUUUUGUUUUUAAAAUACAAUUCUUUGAAGAAGAUGCUUAUUCCUUCAAGAUCUUUGUAACUCCUUUAUAUAAUUUGUUAAAGAACAUACUUAUUUUUAAAUGAAGGAUUUUUUUAGCAUCCUCAUAUAUUUCUAUAAUUACCUUACUUGUUCUAUUAUGUUUCUUAAAAAAUUAGCAUGUUAAAAAUUUAAAAGUUUGUAGGACAGCAAUACUACGGAAAAAAUGAAUGGAAUGAAUAGAAUAAUAUUAAAACAAGUGGACAUUCUGUAUUUAUGUCUGUCUAUAAAUAAAAAUUAGCUUGCUACAAAUUUAAUAGUUACGACGAUAAAGAAGCUUUAAAAAUUAUUUCGAAAAUAUUAAAUCAGAUGUUGUUCAUUGAAUACAAAUAAUGUAUUGUUUAUAACUGAGUAUGGUGCUUUAAGACGCAUUUUAUUGUAUUUUAAUAAUCUGUUAACAUGUGCUGUCCUCUAUUUACUUCCAUUUUCUAUUCAGUUUAUCGCGUUUUCUUCCUAUCUUCCUACAAUUGUAUAUUAAAGCCAUUAAAAACAACUGCAUCUACUAUUUUCUUACUUUGUCGUUCGUGUUAUCCAAUUUUUUGGAAAAUUUAUAGUUUUUCUGUGGAAGACACGAUACUCCCUCUCUGUAAAAAAUGGUUACGUUUUGUUUGCAUACGUUUACUAUGCUUUGUUUUUAAACCAGGAGGAGUAAACUAAAAAGACAGAUGCACACCCAAGAAAGUCACUAGAAAAAUCACCAAAUACAUUUUCUUUUUUGGUUGAUCAUGUCAGCCUUCGACGGUAAUCCAUAAAUAUUCAUAAAUAUCCAUAAUUCACAACUGUUUUUUUAUAUAGAAGCAGGCUAAAAAUCUAAAAAUUAAAGGAAUAAUCCAGAAAACACAAAAAAUCACUGAUAUAUCUUAAUUGACCUAUGAAACACCAUAGUGUCAAAAUUACAUAAAUUUCAAUAGUGUCAAAAGCUCCUAACAGUGGAGUAAACUUGCCUGCGGUUGGACCAAUUACAAACAGGCAUUUGAAUUACUCCUUCUGGUUUAAAAACUUGGUACUAGCCUGACGUUUGUCGCCAUAUGAGCAUUUUGCUAACAUUUAAUAGAAAAUCGUCAUAAAAUGAUAACGCUGUCUUGACUGCUUUCUUGCUUUGGAUGAGUACUUGAAGGUUGUGAGUUGAUCCUUUCUGUUGUAAUUAUUAUUUUAGUAUUCUAGUUAAAACACUUUUUCCUCAUAAAACGAUAAACGACGUUGGUUAAAUUUGUGAUACGCUAAAUAGAAUUUUUUGGUUGUUCUUGUUCAGGUGAUCUUAUACAAACCAACAAGCCUGAAAUCCAGAAAACAGUUAUGUAGACCCGUUAAUUUUUUUCUAUCCAAAAUAAUACGCAUAACACCUUAAAGUGACUCUUUCUGUUUCAAAUGAGGUUUAGUUCUGAAUUAAAAGGGAUGGGUAUAACAAAAAAUCAGUUAAUCUUGUGGGUUCGUAGGUUAGCCGGGUUUAUUGUUGGUGGACUGAAAUAUGGUUUCUUGGGUUAAGUGGGUUAAGAGUAUUUGGUUUAGGAAAAAAUGUAGUUUCUAGGGGUUGGUUGGUUUAAGGGUGUAUUGGUUUGACGAAUAAACGGUCUUGCUGUACGUGAUUUAAUACAAGAAAUUAGCAAUUUGUCUUGUGGAUUCUAAAUUUACGUGUGUUUUGCUGAUUGGUUAGAUAUAUGUCUAGCCGUGGGGAAAGACUGUGGAGUUAGUAUUAUAGCAAACUGAAAAGUAAUUGCGAGGUCAAUUUAACAUUUGAUUUUUUGUAACAUUUAACCAUACUUUAUGGGAAGUAAAACUAUGACUUGGAAAUGUAUAAAUAGAAUUUUUGUCGUUUGAUCGCAAAAUAAUUCUAACCGUAAAUAAUUGUUUCCAAAAUUAAAAAUUGCAAUAACCGGAACCAAUAGUUAAUAAUUAUUGUACGUUUUCCGUAUGUCCCUAAUAGAAAAACUGAAUAAAUCUGUUGCUAUUGCGCAAAACAUUUACGUAACGAAUAUACAAAUUGCCAACAAUGUCUGUAUCGAAUGGAGUCGUUUUUACCUCGGAGUCGUGUUCUCUUUAUCUCUUAUGGUAUAUGUAACUAUAAUGUUACGUUUUAUCUUUUUUUAAAUAAACUUUUACCAGUAUCUCAAAAGAAUCCGGAUUUGGUGUUUUUAUCUUACAAAAAACCUAUUAAUUCAUACUGUGAACAAAAUACUCACAAGCGACAAGUCAGAGUACUUCUUAGAUAGUGAUAACUGCAGGGUUGAUAAAAGUAAUUAGGAGUAUGUAUGUAAAUGUGUACAUACCUACAGUGCAGUAGAAAACUGCAAUAUCUGGGACAUGUCAUAAGGGGCGAGCUUUAUAACUUAUUGCAAUUAAUAAUACAAGGAAGAAUGCAGGGUAGAAAGAGUCGUGGAAGAAGAUUCAUCUCCUGGUUAAAUAAUUUGAGAGCUUGGUUUAACUACACUCUUGCUGAUCUCUUUAGAGUAGCGGUAUCGAAAGUGCGACUUGCCAUGAUGGUUGCCGACCUUCUUAGGGGAGAUGGUAUAUGAAACAGAAGAUGUACGUGUAUACUAAAUCUUUUUUACUACAUAGGUGACAGUUCAUCAUUAUCAUCAUCAAAGCCAUAUAUUUCUCGUUUUAAUUAUGGCCUGGGCGUUAUUUUGAGAUGGAGUGUUCUUCUUAAUAGUUUUUCGUCUGUUUUCGCAGCUCUCGUGAUUUUUUUUCACUUUCUCCACGUCUCUGCAUUGCGCUUUCCAGUGUUGAUACAUGUUUCUCGGCAUCUGGCUAUGGUGCAGUCCAGUUAGUUUCUCAACAUCUCAGAAAGCGAUCUCCUUUAUAUGUCCAACUCAUUAUACGCGAAGUGACUUUAUAUUUUUGACAGUGUUUUCUCCUUUUAAUUAUUUUUCAAUUCCUUCAUUUUGUUUUUACUUUUUUUCUUCGUUACUUGGUACAUUUGGUCCAAUUUACAGAAGGCUAUCGUUCUUUUUUAAUAAGUGUCACUGUUUUAGUUAUUGGAAUUCUGAGCUUGUCUAUUUUGCAAUCAAGAUGCAGUAGAGAUAAACAAAGCAAGACACGUUAAAUGCUACUAGGAGUACUCGCGAAUCAUAAUUUACAAUGUAUACAGGGUGUCCCGGAAAAUAGUGCGUUCCUUUAAGGUAUGGAGAGAAUACACAAUUUGGAACAAAAAAGUCCUAUACCAUUUUUUUUCUAAAGUUAACCGUUUCCAAAAAAAAGUUAACAUUGUUUUCCAUAUACCUGUAUUUUAAUGUUUGGAAAUUUUAAUAAACUGGCAACAUCGUACGCACUACGGAAUAAUAACAUAAUAAGAACUCGUUUGUGAUUGUGAUUAACAGUAUUUAAAAUAUUCCAACCUAAUAGUAGGUAAUACUUAUGUAUUUACUAUUUGUUAUUAUUUUUUAUUUUUUUUAUUAUUUUUUAUAUUAUUUUUUUUUAAAAUUAUUUUUUUUUGAAAUGUAUUGAAAUACCUAUUGCAUAAUUUUAAACGAAUUACACAUCUUUUAACAUAAAAACACAUCUUUUAACUGAACUAGUAUUAUGUAUUUAGUAAGGUUUAAAUGGGUUGAAUGCUGAGUAUUGCUGAGAGCUUUAACUGAAUUACAUAGUUUUAAUAGUUUACAGUGGAACUUAAAUACACCAGAUAAUGUCUCAGUAAUUUGUUUACUUGUGAACUGAAAUAACUAUGUUGUACUUACUUGAAAAUAAUUAUUAUACCGAAUAGAUGUUUCAAGUAACCUUUCACAAACACCAUUCAUAGGUAAUAACAUAAUAGGUAAUACACUCACUAUUCGAAAACAUUUUCGGCAUUGACACUAAACAGGAUUCUUUAAAACUAUCUGUUUACUAUCUAUCUUCUAUCUAUUUAUUUACAUGGGACUGUCUAUGCUCUAAUUUGCGUACCGCACAUAGUUGUCAGAUUUAAAUUUGCCUACCAAAAUACAUUUUAAUUUUUUGGUUAAACGGUUGCAUUUAGAAAAAAAUUUUAUAAGAGUUUUUUGUUCUACAUGGUGCCUUCUACCUAUACCUUUAAGGAACGCACUAUUUUCCGGGACACCCUGUAUACAUUAUAAAUCCCAAAUCAUGAUUUCCAAAGUUUAUACAUUGUAUAUUAUGAUUCCGGAGUGGCAUAGUAGCAUUUAACGUGUUUUGGUUUGUUUAUUUCUACUGCAUCUUGAUUGUAUAUUUAGUAUAAGUCUCUCGUCAAGUUGGAACGUAUGCCUUUAUUGAAAGUAAUCGACGAAUAUUACGGUCAUAUUUUAUUGUGUUACCUUAUAUUUGAACUAUUUCUUUUACAGUGUACGGUGUUGCUUGCCAGUCUCCUUAGUCCAUUUUUGUUCUGCACUUUUUUUAAUCUUCAUAUUAUUUUUUCUAAACCUGUGUAUGUGAUGUUCAGUAUUAUUCUGUGAUUUUUAUGUUUCUCUUGGUCUCGUUUUUUUAUCUGGGCAUUAUAAUUCCUGUGUUCCCUCAUCUUCCUCUUCUUCUUUAGUUUAUUGUCCUCCCCUACUUCAGUAUUUAGCCAGCUCAUCGUGGAGGAAUAAAGGAAAAAUCCCUUAUUCACUUACAAUUUGGAGUUAGUACAUUAUACAAUCUGCUUCUUUGGACAGAAUAUUUUGUGUUCUUACUUAUCUCUACCGCUUCCUUUUUGUUACCUUGCUUAACUCUGUAAUGACUAUAUUUACUAAUGUUUUAAUGAAGUCACACUGCGUUUUUCUUAUGAUUUUACUGGUUGUAAGCUGCUUUCUAUAUUCUUAAGAGGUUUUUAAUAAAAAUGCGUAAUCUGUUUCUAUAAUUUAAAUGUUGUGUUUUCAGUUUAAAUAUUCAUAGUUGUAACAAAGGAAUCAAAGUGCCCAUUGGUUCUCCCAUCUUUCCUCAAGAUUUCAUUUUGCUCAUUGUUUCAUACAUUUGCUUAUAGUCAACAAAUUUUUUUGUUUUGGAUUCGGCAUUAGGCUCGUCGAUAAUCUGCCAAGUUUCUAGCUGCUUCCACAAUUGUUUUUAUUUACACAUUAUUGCGGAUCAUGAUCAUCUCCUACUGUUCUUAAAUUUUUAACAAUACCUAAUCUUUCGUAGAUCGCAUUAGUUUUAACAACCCGAUAUCUAUGUUUCAAUCUAUACAGGGUGUUUCAUUGGGAAAGUAACAUACGUCAACUGUAGAAAGAGGACACUUGGGCGGUGUCAAAAAUACCAUACUUAAUGGGUCUUACUCCAUUAAUAAUAAAGAUACCGGGUGUUUUAUCUAUUUUGCCAUUUUCUUAAUUGGUUCAUAACUUUUUAACCACACCAUAUAUUUAUUUUAUAUUUGGCACGAAAAUAUCAGUUAAGGCGUACAAUAAAUUAAUUUAUUUACAAUUGUAAAAAAUCCAGGUCCGGAUUAAAAAAUAUUGGAAAAAUGUUCCGACCCAAAACAACACCCUGUACAUUAAAUUUUUUUAAAAUGGAUUUUUCAGUUGAAAAGAGGAUAAAAAACUAAAUUCAGUGGUAUACUUUGAAUAUUCGACAAAAUGGUUUUUCUGGUGAAAUUUUGAAUUUGAAUUCUGAAAUUAAGUGAAAUGCCAGUGACAACUUGUCAACCACACUGUAUAUUGAUUUUAUUUUUAACACGCGAAUAUUCUUUCAGGUGACCAGUCAAUUAAUUUAUUUACAAUUAUAAAAAAUCCAGGUCCGGAUUAAAAAAUAUUGUGUAAAUGUUCCGACCCAAAAAAACACCUUGUAUAUUAAAUUUUUUUAAAAUGGAUUUUGCAUUUGAAAUGGGGAUGAAAAACAAAAUUGGUAGUAUACUUUGAAUUUUCGGCAAAAUGGUUUUUAUGAUAAAAUUUUGAAUUUGGAUUCUGAAAUUAUGUGAGUUGCGAAGCUCAAAGUAAAAUAAAUUAAAAUAUGACUUAAUUUUAAUUUAUACCAUUAUUUAAUCUAAAUUGGUAAAAUAUUAACAUUUGCACACAUAACAAUAAUUUUUGAUGACCCCCUCUGUGGCUCAGUGGUAAGAGCGCCUACCUUUGUAUCGAAAGGUCCGAAUGGUCGUGAGUUCGAAUCUCACCAGGGUCAGAAAUUUUUCGUUUAUUAUAAAUUAAUAAAUGAAAAUAGUUUCUGUCCUCGUGAGAUCGGUACUCACCGGAGGGACCGCAGACGUUCGUACAAUUAGCGUCUCUUUGCAAAGACAAUGACGUUGCCUUUUCAAAGUAACAAGACACUUGCUCAACACACACAGUACACAUGACACUAGGUAUCUAACUACAAAAAUUUACCGUACUUACGUAUAAAAAAAGUAAUUUUUGAUGGUGGUAAUUUUGAAUAAGUAGUUUAGUUUUGAAUAGUUAUUAUGCUGCAAAUUUUCGCUGUUUUGUUAUAAUUUUUAGCUAUUUUGUUGAUUAAAGUGAUGUAUUCUUUAUUGACCCUUUAUUAUUUAUUCAUUAUUUAAAGAUGCAUAUUCGCCAAAAACUAUUUUUCACACAUAAUAAAAAACACUAAAAUAUUAACAUUUUACCAAUUUAGAUUAAAUAAUGGUAUUAAUUAAAAUUAAGUCACAUUUUAAUUUUUUCUACUUAGAGCUCUCGCAAUUGACAUAAUUUCAGAAAUCAAAUUCAAAAUUUUACCAGAAAAAUCAUUUUGCCGUAAAUUGAAAGUAUUCCACUAAUUUUGUUUUUCAUCCUCUUUUCAAAUGCAAAAUCCAUUUAAAAAAAAUUUAAUAUACAAGGUGUUUUUUUUGUCGGAACAUUUACACAUUAUUUUUUAAUCCGGACCUGGAUUUUUUAUAAUUGUAAGUAAAUUAAUUGAUUGGACACCUAAAAGAAUAUUCGGGUGUUAAAUAUAAAAUCAAUAUACAGUGUGUUUGACAAGUUGUAAGUUGUAUUUCAAUUUUUUUCUACUCGCAAUUCACUUAAUUUCAGAAUUCAAAUUCAAAAUUUCACCAGAAAAAUCAUUUUGCCGAAAAUUCAAAGUACACCACUGAAUUUAGUUUUUAUCCUCUUUUCAACUGAAAAAUUCAUUUUAAAAAAAUUUAAUGUACAUGGUGUUGUUUUGGGGUCGGAACGUUUUUCCAAUAUUUUUUAAUCCGGACCUGGAUUUUUUACAAUUGUAAAUAAAUUAAUUUAUUGUACACCUUAAAUGAUAUUUGCGUGCCAAAUAUAAAAUACAUAUACAGUGUGGUUAAAAAGUUAUGAACCAAUUAAGAAAAUAGCAAAAUAGAUAAAACACCCAGUAUCUUUAUUAUUAAUGGAGUAAGACCCAUUAAGUAUGGUAUUUUUGAGACCGCCUAAGUGUCCUCUUUCUACAGUUAACGUAUGUUACUUUCCCAAUGAAACACCCUGUAUUAUUAAUUAUGUUUCUAAUAAUGUUAAUGUUUUUUAAUAUAUUUUUUGUCAAUUCCUAUUUAUAGACCUCUUUGCGGCAUAGUUAUUAAAAAUUGAUAACCCUUUCUUUUCCUCCCUACUAUAUAGACUACUUUUAAAUAUUUAAUAUAACCGUAUACUUCCUUAUUUGCUUCGUCGCUUCGUACUCAUUUUAAGUACGUUUGGUAAUAGUAUUUUCGCUGAUGAUUUUUGUUUCCUAGUCUCUUUAGAUUCUUUUGUAUUUAUGGUAUUCUGUAUUAAUUUUUGAUUUAUAGUAUAUCGUAUUAAUUGCCUCUGGCAUGUUUUUUUGUAUUCAAUGAGUUUUCCAUGAUAUCUAGCAAAAAGAGCAAUCUUUUUACCAAUGCAAUACAGUUUAAUAAGGUAAAUCGUGUGAUUUUGGUGCUUACCAUUUUAGCGUAAUUUUUUGUAUGUAGUUAGGCUUAGAAUAGUUCAUACAUACUUUAUUUGACCCAAUUAUGAAGUUAUAUACGUUAUAAAAGAUGUAAUAUAUUUUUAGUAAUUUUUAAUCAAUUUUAGUAAUUUUUAUUCCUAAAAUUUUGUUUAUAAGAGGCUUGCGAUAUUAAUUUUAGCUGUUGUUUUUUGUGUACAAUUUGUUGUUAAUAAAUAGUAAAAAGACA